CCUGGCCUUCCCUGAAUGGAUGGGAAGGGCAGGAAACGGAAUAACAAUCGAUCAGCUCAAGCGAUAGCUCUAAUCGGGAUGGAGCGCAGCCCAAUGCCAUCGCCAGACCAUUCCAAAUCCAUACUGGGAUUUUUGAAGUUGAUUUUAAAGAGCAAGCAGGGGAGUACAGGAGACAAGCAGUUUAGGCAGCAGUGCAAAACUGCCCUCCGUUCCAAGACUUCAGAAAAUUCAUGUCUGCCUUUUAUUUACCCUCUGGCCGUGGUUCACUCCGUCUUGUUUGCUUUGAUAUAUUUUUAUUAACAAGGAUUAGGUUACUUGGCAUUAUGCGCUCAGCUUAAACUUGUAAGAGGACCCAAACAGCAAUUCAGUGGAGCGAUGUGGGCUAAACAAAAUGGCAGCAAAAAAAGCUGAUGAAGACUCAAGACUUACCUUAAGGUACACAUUAGAACCAACCAACCACAAAGCUCUCCUGAAAUAUCAAGGAAACUGGCUAGGGAGGAAUCUGGAAAGCUGAAUGACAAAGAAAUUAAAGAAGGAUAAGGAGAUUGAAGAAAAGUUAAAUCAAUUCUUGUCAUUGAUAUUCCCUCCCUAAGCUGCAGACAAGAAACAAACGCUUAAAUUUUGAUUUUCCGAAUGAAAAUCGAAAGACAUCGCAAUGACAAGAGAGGAAGUCAAUAUUAUAUUCACAAGUAGGAAGGAAACCAGGGAAACUUUCAAAAUCUUUAAACAGUUGAAAUAGGAAACUGUCAAUAUUCUAACAAAAAUAUGCAAAAUAUCCUAAAUACUGAUGUCUCUAUAAAGAAGCCAGAAUGCUUUGAAUCUGGUUAGCUUAGCAUCAAUUAUAAGGCAAAUUAGUCAAAAGGAUUAUCAGAGAUUUUUUAAAAAAACAAGGUCUAAAGAACAAAUCUUGUCAAGUGGCACAUCCUUCUGCAAAAUCAAAUCUCAUUUCAGUAACCUUAAAUUGGUGUUUUGCUUUGUUUUGUUUUUUUUGAGAAAAGAAGUAAUCAUAAGGAGAGGAAUAAGAGACAAGGGAAGUUUGCUAUGGCUUUCGUCAAAAGUUCUACUUGCAAAACUACUGAGCUAACUCAGCAGUUACGAAAGAAAAAGACAUGUACGGAUAAUCUGGAACAAAACCUAUGAAUAACGGAAUUUUGGAUGCAAAAGUGGCAUUUUAAGGGACCUCUGUUUGGUCAAAACUUACUAAUAGAUGAAUGAAAAUAAUACAUUACUGGUU